rnacentral:rRNA from 1 species
AUUGAACGCUGGCGGCAGGCCUAACACAUGCAAGUCGAGCGAGCGGCGGACGGGGGAGUAAUGUCUGGGAAACUGCCCGAUGGAGGGGGGUAACUACAGGAAAAGGUAGCUAAUAUCGCAUACCAUCAGAUGUGCCCAGAUGGGAUUAGCUCGUAGGUGGGGUAACGGCUCACCUAGGCGACGAUCCCUAGCUGGUCUGAGAGGAUGACCAGCCACACUGGAACUGAGACACGGUCCAGACUCCUACGGGAGGCAGCAGUGGGGAAUAUUGCACAAUGGGCGCAAGCCUGAUGCAGCCAUGCCGCGUGUGUGAAGAAGGCCUUCGGGUUGUAAAGCACUUUCAGCGGGGAGGCGUUACCCGCAGAAGAAGCACCGGCUAACUCCGUGCCAGCAGCCGCGGUAAUAC